ACCCGCUGAACUUAAGCAUAUCAAUAAGGGGAGGAAAAGAAAACCAACAGGGAUUGCCUCAGUAACGGCGAGUGAAGCGGCAAAAGCUCAAAUUUGAAAUCUAGCGUCUUUGACGUUCGAGUUGUAAUUUGUAGAGGUAGCUUUGGGUGUACAGCCAGGUCUAUGUUCCUUGGAACAGGACGUCAUGGAGGGUGAGAAUCCCGUAAAUGGCUUGGCCAGUGCCUAUGUAUAGCGCCUUCGACGAGUCGAGUUGUUUGGGAAUGCAGCUCUAAGCGGGUGGUAAAUUCCAUCUAAAGCUAAAUACUGGCGAGAGACCGAUAGCGCACAAGUAGAGUGAUCGAAAGGUGAAAAGCACUCCGGAAGGAGAGUUAAACAGCACGUGAAAUUGUUGAAAGGGAAGCGCUUGAGACCAGACUCAGGUAAAGUUGAUCAACCUCCAUUCUUGGUGGUGCACUCUUCUUUGCCCGGGCCAGCAACAGUUUUGGCGGUGGUAUAGAGGUUUAGGGAAUGUGGCUCUCUUCGGGGAGUGUUAUAGCCCUAUUCGUAAUGCUGCCUGUCGAGACUGAGGACCGCGCUUCGGCUAGGUUGUUGGCGUAAUGGUCUU
rnacentral:rRNA from 1 species